rnacentral:rRNA from 1 species
GACGAACGCUGGCGGCGUGCUUAACACAUGCAAGUCGAACGAAGUUGCGAACGGGUGAGUAACGCGUAAUCAACCUCCUCAUCAGAGGGGGACAACAGUUGGAAACGACUGCUAAUACCGCAUACUGAAGGAGGGGAUUGUGUUUGAUUAGCUAGUUGGAGGGGUAACGGCCCACCAAGGCGAUGAUCAGUAGCCGGUCUGAGAGGAUGAACGGCCACACUGGAACUGAGACACGGCCCAGACUCCUACGGGAGGCAGCAGUGGGGAAUAUUGGACAAUGGGCGAAAGCCUGAUCCAGCCAUGCCGCGUGUGUGAAGAAGGUCUUCGGAUUGUAAAGCACUUUAAGUUGGGAGGCGUUACCAACAGAAUAAGCACCGGCUAACUUCGUGCCAGCAGCCGCGGUAAUAC